CCUACGGGUGGCAGCAGUGAGGAAUAUUGGUCAAUGGACGAGAGUCUGAACCAGCCAAGUAGCGUGAAGGAUGACUGCCCUAUGGGUUGUAAACUUCUUUUAUAAAGGAAUAAAACGCGUCACGUGUGCGUUUUUGCAUGUACUUUAUGAAUAAGGAUCGGCUAACUCCGUGCCAGCAGCCGCGGUAAUACGGAGGGUCCGGGCGUUAUCCGGAUUUAUUGGGUUUAAAGGGAGCGUAGAUGGGUUGUUAAGUCAGUUGUGAAAGUUUGCGGCUCAACCGUAAAAUUGCAAUUGAUACUGGCAGUCUGGAGUACAGUUGAGGUAGGCGGAAUUCGUGGUGUAGCGGUGAAAUGCUUAGAUAUCACGAAGAACCCCGAUUGCGAAGGCAGCUUACUAAACUGUGACUGACACUGAUGCUCGAAAGUGUGGGUAUCAAACAGGAUUAGAUACCCGAGUAGUC
rnacentral:rRNA from 1 species